rnacentral:lncRNA from 1 species
CAGGCAUUCCUGCCUGUUGUACUGUUGUUUCUCAAAUGAUUUCUUCAUUAUGCAAACAUUUCCUGUUGUUACUUUAUGCUGAUCCAGAAUGCCAUUUAUCAGCAGCAGUUUUCUAGGAUCACAAGACAGUGUCAAGCUCCCUGCCAACCUUUGGAAAUAGCCAUAGUGCUACUCCCUUCCCUGAAGGUAGGUGAGUUCACCUUAGGAACAUUUUAAAAAGAGAAGGUCAAAGAAGAAGUUCUGAUAAUGAAGGGAAGUACCAUAAAGUGAAACUCCAACUCCAGAACAAACAGAUACAAGAAAUAAAGCAGGGGUCUGGAAAGAGAUAAAAUGUUCUGGGACACUAAGGAAAAGAAGUAUAAAGCAAGAUGCAGUCUAAACCUGAGUUUGCAGAAGAACUUGAAGCACCCUAUCAACGUUACUGACAUGUCAAGAAUAUCCUGUCUAGAAGAAGGAUACCUCUUUUCACAAUCCACAUCAUAACAAAUUGGCAGGGGAUUUACAGU